rnacentral:rRNA from 1 species
UACGUAGGGGGCAAGCGUUGUCCGGAUUUAUUGGGCGUAAAGAGCGUGUAGGCGGCCAGAUAGGUCCGUUGUGAAAACUCGAGGCUCAACCUCGAGACGUCGAUGGAAACCAUCUGGCUAGAGUCCGGAAGAGGAGAGUGGAAUUCCUGGUGUAGCGGUGAAAUGCGCAGAUAUCAGGAAGAACACCCGUGGCGAAGGCGGCUCUCUGGUACGUGACUGACGCUGAGACGCGAAAGCGUGGGGAGCAAACAGG